GUUCUGUGUUAAAUGCAAUGGAAAUAUAUGUCUUGUAUGUAUAUUUAUGCUUUGAUUUGCACAAAAAGCAUAUCUUUCCAUGGCGUUUAACACAGGUGUGGCAAGCUUUUGUGAUGUGAGUGUGCGUUGUUACGUUACUGCCCUACUGAAAAAAACAGCAUAUGCUGGUUUUGAACCUGGGAUGCUAGUACAAGCUGGUCCUUUGCUGGUUCAAGCUGGUCCGUUGCUGACUUACGCUGGACUUUUGACCAUCUUAGGACCAGCACAUGACCAGCAAAGGACCACCUUAAACCAGUUCAAACUAGCAUCCCAGUUUCAAAACGUACCUACCUAGCAUAUAGUAUUUUUGGCAUAUUUAUUUUUUUUUUUUUUAAGUGUUUGAUUUUCCUUUUUGUACUCGCUCUUUUACAUGCGUUUGAGAAGAGUAUGCUCUGCAAACAACUAUAAAGGCUCAUGGAACAAUCACUGUUUGCCCUGAUUUUUUUUCAUUCAGCCGAUGUCUGCCUAAUGUUUCAGUUCCGCGAUUUUAAAAAGGAAAGUGAAUGUUUUGAUGUAGUAAUAAAAUUGUUCUCAAAUUGGCCUUUUAGUUUGAGCUGCUCUCUGGACUCAAAAUCUAAUUAUUAACCCCAAAUUUCUGUGGGACAAUUGCCCUAAUGAUUCUGUUUUUUUGUGAUUAUUAACUAGCCUUUGUGAUGGUUUACCGCUAACAGAAUUAGUUUGUUUUGAGUGCUGGGAAAUUGAUUUUCUUUAUUUGUCUUUAUGUUAAACGUUAACCAUUGAAGUAAAAUCCUCCUGCUGACUCCACUGUAAAAAGUCCCCCUUUCCAUUUGUGUGUUUGUUUUUUUUUUUGUAGUUUUUUUUAAAUGUCAUCUUAACUUGUAAUGAACAGCAUGGAAUGUAAGCAGUGGUUGAAACAGAUAGUCCUCUUCUCGCAGAGUCAGAGUUUCAAAGUCGCUGAAAUGAUCUUGCUACAUUCUAAUGCUGCCUUCACUUGGCUUUGUGAAGUAUCAAUACAAAGUCAUGCAGAAAAGCUCAAAAACAUUAAAG